AGUAAAAGUCGUAACAAGGUUUCCGUAGGUGAACCUGCGGAAGGAUCAUUAUCGAGUUUUGAACGGGUUGUAGCUGGCCUCAUACGGGGCAUGUGCACGCCUGGCUCAUCCACUCUUCAACCUCUGUGCACUUAUUGUAGAUCGGUGAYAAGGUCGAGYUCUUUCACGAGUUCUUGACUGGAAAAACCUUUCUACGUUUUUACCACAAACGCUUCAGUUAUAGAAUGUUUAUCUGCGUAUAACGCAUCUUUAUACAACUUUCAGCAACGGAUCUCUUGGCUCUCGCAUCGAUGAAGAACGCAGCGAAAUGCGAUAAGUAAUGUGAAUUGCAGAAUUCAGUGAAUCAUCGAAUCUUUGAACGCACCUUGCGCUCCCUGGUAUUCCGGGGAGCAUGCCUGUUUGAGUGUCAUGGAAUUCUCAACUCUUAAUACUUUUUUGUAUCAAGAGCUUGGACUUGGAGGCUUGUGCUGGCUGCUCGUUCAGUCGGCUCCUCUGAAAUGCAUUAGCGUGAAUUAAUAUGGAACGCUUCGGUGUGAUAAUUAUCUGCGCCGUAGUCGUGAAGUACUUGAUAACGUUUACGCUUCUAAUCGUCCUUCACGGGACAAUUAAACCCUGACUUUUUGACCUCAAAUCAGGUAGGACUACCCGCUGAACUUAAGCAUAUC
rnacentral:rRNA from 1 species